GACGAACGCUGGCGGCGUGCUUAACACAUGCAAGUCGAACGGAAAGGCCCUGCUUUUGUGGGGUGCUCGAGUGGCGAACGGGUGAGUAACACGUGAGUAACCUGCCCUUGACUUUGGGAUAACUUCAGGAAACUGGGGCUAAUACCGGAUAGGAGCUCCUGCUGCAUGGUGGGGGUUGGAAAGUUUCGGCGGUUGGGGAUGGACUCGCGGCUUAUCAGCUUGUUGGUGGGGUAGUGGCUUACCAAGGCUUUGACGGGUAGCCGGCCUGAGAGGGUGACCGGCCACAUUGGGACUGAGAUACGGCCCAGACUCCUACGGGAGGCAGCAGCGGGGAAUAUUGCACAAUGGGCGGAAGCCUGAUGAAGCAACGCCGCGUGCGGGAUGACGGCCUUCGGGUUGUAAACCGCUUUCGCCUGUGACGAAGCGUGAGUGACGGUAAUGGGUAAAGAAGCACCGGCUAACUACGUG
rnacentral:rRNA from 1 species